rnacentral:rRNA from 1 species
AGUGAACGCUGGCGGUAGGCCUAACACAUGCAAGUCGAACGGCAGCACAGUAAGAGCUUGCUCUUACGGGUGGCGAGUGGCGGACGGGUGAGGAAUACAUCGGAAUCUACUUUUUCGUGGGGGAUAACGUAGGGAAACUUACGCUAAUACCGCAUACGACCUACGGGUGAAAGCAGGGGAUCUUCGGACCUUGCGCGAUUGAAUGAGCCGAUGUCGGAUUAGCUAGUUGGCGGGGUAAAGGCCCACCAAGGCGACGAUCCGUAGCUGGUCUGAGAGGAUGAUCAGCCACACUGGAACUGAGACACGGUCCAGACUCCAACGGGAGGCAGCAGUGGGGAAUAUUGGACAAAGGGCGCAAGCCUGAUCCAGCCAUACCGCGUGGGUGAAGAAGGCCUUCGGGUUGUAAAGCCCUUUUGUUGGGAAAGAAAAGCAGCAGGUUAAUACCCCGCUGUUCUGACGGUACCCAAAGAAUAAGCACCGGCUAACUUCGUG